AACGAACGCUGGCGGCAUGCCUAACACAUGCAAGUCGAACGAAGGCUUCGGCCUUAGUGGCGCACGGGUGAGUAACGCGUAGGAAACUGCCUAUUGGUGGGGAAUAACGACGGGAAACUGUCGCUAAUACCGCAUAAGCCCUUCGGGGGAAAGAUUUAUCGCCGAUAGAUGUGCCCGCGUCCGAUUAGCUAGUUGGUGGGGUAAUGGCUCACCAAGGCGACGAUCGGUAGCUGGUCUGAGAGGAGGAUCAGCCACACUGGGACUGAGACACGGCCCAGACUCCUACGGGAGGCAGCAGUGGGGAAUAUUGGACAAUGGGCGAAAGCCUGAUCCAGCAAUGCCGCGUGAGUGAUGAAGGCCUUAGGGUUGUAAAGCUCUUUCGGGUGGGACGAUGAUGACGGUACCACCAGAAGAAGCCCCGGCUAACUUCGUGCCAGCCGCCGCCGUAA
rnacentral:rRNA from 1 species